AAAAACAAGAAAAUUCUGCGCCUCAAAAAUUUCUUUCCAAAGAUCUCGUAAACCUUAAAAACAUCAAGAAAUCUUGUUCUUCUUUCUCUCUUGAAAGAAAGAUGAUGAGCCGUGGUGCAACAAGGGUUGCCCGGUCGGUGAUCGGCCACAUGGGGCCGCGUUAUUUUUCCGGUGCAGCCAUGGGUCCGCACGACACCAGCUUGGGGAAACUUUUUGCAUGUGGAGCCACGGGUUUCUUGCAUGGCAAUCCAGCUAAGCCGUCGGAGAACGUGAUGGUGGCGUGGUUUGGGUAUGGAGGAAUUGGUUCACGCCAGGCGAGCACGUUGGCUUUGGGUGAUAAGAAGGUGGAGGAUGAGGAGGAGGUGAAGGCGGUGAAAAGUGGUGCAGCUGGUGGUGCCACGGCCGCGGCGGGUGACGGUGGAAAUGGGAAUAAGGAGGUUGUGAGUUAUUGGGGUGUUGAGCCGCCUAAAGUUACCAAAGAAGAUGGUUCUGAGUGGAGCUGGAAUUGCUUUAGGCCCUGGGAGACCUACAAGGCAGACCUGACAAUAGAUCUGGAGAAAAAACAUGUGCCAGUGACAUUCUUGGACAAGUUUGCACUUUGGACCGUCAAGACCCUUAGGUGGCCCACCGAUUUAUUCUUUCAGAGGAGGUAUGGAUGUCGAGCAAUGAUGUUGGAAACUGUGGCAGCAGUCCCCGGCAUGGUUGGAGGGAUGCUGCUUCACUGCAAGUCAUUGAGGCGAUUUGAACAUAGUGGAGGCUGGAUCAAGGCUUUACUUGAAGAAGCCGAGAAUGAAAGGAUGCACCUCAUGACCUUCAUGGAGGUUUCAAAACCAAGAUGGUACGAACGUGCACUCGUUUUCGCGGUCCAGGGAGUUUUCUUCAACGCAUACUUUUUAACAUACAUUCUCUCACCCAAAUUGGCUCAUCGCAUCGUGGGGUACUUGGAAGAGGAAGCAAUUCAUUCCUAUACUGAAUUCCUCAAGGAAUUGGAUAAGGGCACCAUUGAAAAUGUUCCUGCUCCUGCUAUUGCUAUUGAUUACUGGCGCAUGCCUCCUGAUUCGACUUUGCGCGAUGUUGUUAUGGUUGUCAGGGCUGAUGAGGCUCAUCACCGCGAUGUUAACCACUUUGCAUCGGACAUUCAUUAUCAAGGACAUGAGCUGAGGAAGGCUCCAGCACCACUUGGUUAUCACUGAAGGAAGCGCAGGUCUGGUGAUGAUACACAAGCAGAUGGUGUUUAUCUUCUGGCAUAAAAGGCUGAGAAAUAAUGAUAUUAUACUGAACUACAAUCCUGACUUAGUUUUCUAGAUGUAUAUAUUACAAUACAGCACGAGCCAGAGUCUGAGUUGUUUGAUAACUUCUUUUCCCGGUUGGAUUUAAGAUUUUUGGGCAGUAAAGUUGUUAUAAAAAGGUGAUGCCCUGCUUACAAUUUCAAAAUGUUUGGAAAACUACAGAGGCUCAGUAUGUUUCCAAACAAUUAACAUCAAUUACUGCUUCUUCCGCCGAUAAUUGUAUCUGGUAAGAGAACUGGAAGGAAGCUUGCUUGCAAUAUAUGUCACAAGUAUUGAAAGAAUCAGAGCAUUUGGAAAUAUUCAUAGACCAAAUGUUUGAGCCGUUAAUUACCUGGAGCAUUCCCAGGUGUACUUCACUUUUCCAAGGCACAGAAGUUUUGCAAAAUUGGCAGACUUUUUCCACAUGGAAGAUUCUUGAAUUUGAGGUUGUUUGACCAAUUUGAGCACGUUAUAUGGAAUUUCAAUAGGAUUAUCAUAAAAAAAAAUGUUGCAAAGAACUUUUCAAGCUUCCUGAUAAGUUCUGAGGGGAGACAAAGUUGACUGGACAGAAUAGUUCUGUCUUAACAUCUAUCAGAUGACUCGUUUCUAUUAACCUGAGCCUAAAGCAUGAGGAGCUUUGCCAUACUACUAGCUAAUAGUUUUAUAGAAACUAUUAGUAAUUACUAAUGUCAGGGACAGGGAAAGGGUUGCAUGACACACUUUGACAUAUUGGAAUCUUGCUUGUUGAUAAAGAUCAGGGGCUUGAUCAAGUCAUGCAGGCUGGUUUUUUUGCAAUAUAUCAAGGGAAGUGAAAGGAUGUUAUAACAUCCUGUCUUGGCAUAUGUGAAUCUUGUUUGGUGAUACAUAUUAGGAGCUUGAUUUCUGGGCUUUUAUAGGCAACUGAGCUUGUGCCUGGAGGAGAGAAAACAGGGUACACCAUGCAGGAACAAAAGUGUAUAUGGGAGCAAUUAUAUUCUAGAUUUUGAUCAUUAUAUUAGGCAGCAAGUCCAUAGCAGGGGAACAGUUUUAACAUAUGAAGACAUGAGAGGUUGAAUUUCCAAAGGAAGAGGAACAGUUGGCAGGAAAAUACCCAAAGCAGUAGCCCCUAAUUCAGUUGACUGUUCCCAAAAUGAAGAAGCAAUGGCUUGAGCUGAAAAGGAGAAACAGAAAAUGAUGUUGGCUGGCUGUUUCUCAAAUUUGCGGUUGGUGUAAGAUCAAAUAAUUGGCUUAUAUUCUGACCUCGUGAGGCAGAGUCAAGGCUGAAAAGUUAUAGCCUUCUAGUCCAAGAAUUGGCCGAGAGAUCGGCCUGGCUGAAGCCCAGAGAAGUGAAUACAAAUUUGACCGUGGUUAUUAAACUCGGGCGACAAGGAACGUGGCACAGAGAUAAGGUCAACGACGUCACUGGUUGGG